AGCAAGACGAAAAUAAAAAAUCCCAGUAGGGCUCAAUUCUUCUUGUGAGUCCCAGCAACCCUUCUUGGGAUAUGCCUUCCGGCUUCUCCGACGCUCAGGACCCUACCAAUCCCAUAGCAAUCUAAGGAGUCGGGACGCUGCCAAGAUUAUGCCCCUUAUCGCUUCGGGAAUGGCGCGGUCCAACCGCGUCAAUCUUCCGCCGUUAGCGGCGCGACUCGAGGCCGUGGUUCUGCCUCCGAGGUCACCACCUGCCUGGGUAGCCUUUGGCCUCCAGCCUCCAGCCUCCGGCCGUCGAUCCCUCCAAGGAGGGGCUGGACAGGGCCAGGUCGGGAGAGAUUUUAUUUAUUUGACAGAGAGACCACAAGCAGACGGAGAGAGAGGGAGAAGCAGGUUCCCUGCUGAGCAAGGAGCCUGAUGUGGGACUCGAUCCCAGGACCCUGGGAUCAUGACCUGGGCCAAAGGCAGCCGCUUAACCGACUGAGCCACCCAGGCAUCCCUCCUUUUCUUUUCUUCUUGAUCUCAGUUGUCAAAUUAUAAAACUGAAUGCUAUUCUUUGUUUCCUAUAUUAAAUUAAAGCAUGACAUGAUAUUCUCUAAAAUUCCUCACCACGCUGAACCUAUUUUUAUUUUAUUUUAUUUAUUUAUUUUUUAAAGAUUUUAUUUAUUUAUUUGAGAGAGAAAGAAUGAAAGAUAGCAUGAGAGGGAGGAGGAUCAGAGGGAGAAGCAGACUCCCUGUUGAGCAGGGAGCCCGAUGCGGGACUCGAUCCCGGGACUCCAGGAUCAUGACCUGAGCUGAAGGGAGUCACUUAACCAACUGAGCCACCCAGGCGCCCCUGGGGUUUUUUUUUUCAGAGAAAAGAUAAAGAAGCCAGCAGUUACUGCCCAAGCCACUACUGUAUAUGAAAACAAACAUUACUUCUUUAUUCCUCAUUACAAUCCCGUGAAAGAGGUAUUAUACCAUUUUAUGGAAACUGAGCUUCAGAAUGGUCAUUUUUUUCAAGGUUUUUUUUUAUUUCAACCCACAAUAAAAAAUACAUUUUAUUCUCAUGAUCACUGAAGAACACACAAAUGUGUCUUCAUUGACAUAAAGGUUUCAUGAAAUAAUACCCUAACU